rnacentral:tRNA from 1 species
GGAAUUGUGGCUCAGUGGUAGAGCACAUGCCUAGCAUGCAUGAGGCACUGGGUUCGAUCCUGGCACUA